UGGUGUUUGGUGGAGACUGGAGAGGGUGCAAGCGCGGGUGGUGGUGGUGGUGUGGUAUGGACGUGCUGCACUGGUGGCGUGGCGUUGAGGGAAGCGCCUCUUUGUAAUCCUGCCCAGCACUUUAUUGAACACAUGAAGGUGCUCCAGAGUUUCAAGAAGGGAGUGGCACACACACUUUGCUGCACUCCAAGCUUGUGGAGGUCCAGCAGCACACCGCACACUGCUUUCAUAAACGUGUGUGCCGAGUGCAAGACAGGGAGUGGCAAGGAUGGAGGAUGCUUCAACAUUCACAGCAUCAUUAGUUUUGGCUUACUUUUUUUGUGGAAAGUAGUUCACACAGUUUUAACUGAAGGAUUAUGUGUCAUCAUUCAUAUUUAUAGAUUUCAUGACCUAACAUUAUGCACCAAAUCACUUCAUUACAUGUAAGCGUAUAUUUAGCUAUAAGGAGUAAUGGUUUGUGAGAUUUGUAUUGUAUAAAAAGUGACUUAUGAGAGAUUUUACAUUAUGAAGAUUUGUUUGAAGGUCUUUGUUUAUUAACAUGAUCUAGUUGUGUCAGUCUUAAUAGUCCAGAUUGUACAGACAUGAAACAUUGUCCAUUGCACUUCCUGCAGAUGGAAUAUUAGUCAACACUGCAAGGUGCGUGUGAGUGUGUGUAGCUUUGUGAGCAAGUGUGCCAGUCAUUCCUUGAUGUCAAUGUCUUUCAUUUAGGGAAAAAAAUGUUGUGUGUAAUAAGGUUUAUAUACAUUUUUGAGUGAGAAUGUUUAGCCAGAUUAAAUAGUAAGUUUCUUAACUUUUUAGAGCUUUGCUGUUACUGUUCUGUGUAAGAUUUCAGGGGCCGUGUUCUACAAACUGUCAUAGCUAGUGACGUGAU